rnacentral:rRNA from 1 species
UACGAAGGGUGCAAGCGUUAAUCGGAAUUACUGGGCGUAAAGGGCGCGUAGGCGGUCCCUCAAGUCAGGCGUGAAAGCCCCGGGCUCAACCUGGGAACCGCGCUUGAGACUGAUGGGCUAGAGUUCGGGAGAGGAUGGUGGAAUUCCCAGUGUAGAGGUGAAAUUCGUAGAUAUUGGGAAGAACACCGAUGGCGAAGGCAGCCAUCUGGACCGACACUGACGCUGAGGCGCGAAAGCGUGGGGAGCAAACAGG